GCUUUCCUGUAGCUCAGUUGCGACGGCAUUGUGCUAUCAACACAAAGGUUGUGGGUUCAAGUGCCAGGGAAAGCA